rnacentral:tRNA from 1 species
GCACUUGUGGUGUAAUGCACAUCAUUCUGCCGGGAAAACAGUAGGUGUGGGUUCGAGUCCCGCCUCGUGCA